GAUGAACGCUGGCGGCGUGCCUAAUACAUGCAAGUCGAACGCAUAGCGAAAGGUGCUUGCACCUUUCAUGUGAGUGGCGAACGGGUGAGUAACACGUGGACAACCUGCCUCAAGGCUGGGGAUAACAUUUGGAAACAGAUGCUAAUACCGAAUAAAACUUAGUGUCGCAUGACACAAAGUUAAAAGGCGCUUCGGCGUCACCUAGAGAUGGAUCCGCGGUGCAUUAGUUAGUUGGUGGGGUAAAGGCCUACCAAGACAAUGAUGCAUAGCCGAGUUGAGAGACUGAUCGGCCACAUUGGGACUGAGACACGGCCCAAACUCCUACGGGAGGCUGCAGUAGGGAAUCUUCCACAAUGGGCGAAAGCCUGAUGGAGCAACGCCGCGUGUGUGAUGAAGGCUUUCGGGUCGUAAAGCACUGUUGUAUGGGAAGAACAGCUAGAAUAGGAAAUGAUUUUAGUUUGACGGUACCAUACCAGAAAGGGACGGCUAAAUACGUG
rnacentral:rRNA from 1 species